UUCUAACAUUUCUAAACACAUUAUCCUAAUGAUUGAUUACAAAUUUGUAAAAGAAAAAUGAAACAAAAAAAGGAAUUGGAAUGGAGAACAAACGCCUACCUAAACAAAGAUGUCGUUCAGGUGCAGCAACUACCAUUAUAAGUUAUGGGACUUGUAGAAACAAUUUAAUAGCUAAUUUUUCAAAUAGAAAUAUACUUAAGACACCAAAAAACUAAAAGAAAUAAAUUAGAAGAGGAAGAAAUGACUCACCUCAUCAAAAAGAAGCAAUUUCUCCUCUAAUACUCACGCAGAACACGUGUUCUGUUCUAUGGCGUUACUCUCUCUCUCUCUACUAUUUUCUACUCUCAACCUCCCCUCUCAUUCACUUUAACUGGAAUUUUGGGUUUGAAGAAGAUGAAGACGAAGUUGUGAAGAGAAGGAAGCCUUUAUCUAAAUUUACCAACAUCUCAGUCGUCUAAACACAUGCACGGCGUCCCAGCCAUUGAUAUGUUGGAUGGCCGACCACAACUGGCAAAGAUGGCAAGUUUUCUUGACAUCUAGUCAGUCAUCACAACAACUCACCAUGUGGCUCGGUCCUGGCCACAACUUUGAACGGUGAGUGGUGCAAAUCAGGGGCAACCAAUCUGCCCUGAGUGCUAAUCAUUUCCUACGGCAAGCUACUCAAAU
rnacentral:lncRNA from 1 species